CUCUCUCUCUCUCUCUCUCUCUUUCUCUGGAGGCACUACCUUCGAGCUUUGAGAGCUCGAGGUCCAAUUCCAGCAACUACACUUAGCGAGAUUACGGCAAUUUCUGUGUUCAAAGUCCCUUUUUCCUUUCCCAAGUCCUCAAUCGUUGAAGUUUUCGAGCAGGAGAAUGCUUAUCUUUCCCCGCCGUUGAUUAUUCUCCGCG
rnacentral:misc_RNA from 1 species